UGGCUCAGAUUGAACGCUGGCGGCAGGCCUAACACAUGCAAGUCGAGCGGAAACGAUCCUAGCUUGCUAGGAGGCGUCGAGCGGCGGACGGGUGAGUAAUGCAUAGGAAUCUGCCCGGUAGUGGGGGAUAACGUGGGGAAACUCACGCUAAUACCGCAUACGCCCUACGGGGGAAAGCAGGGGAUCUUCGGACCUUGCGCUAUCGGAUGAGCCUAUGUCGGAUUAGCUUGUUGGUGAGGUAAUGGCUCACCAAGGCGACGAUCCGUAGCUGGUCUGAGAGGAUGAUCAGCCACACUGGGACUGAGACACGGCCCAGACUCCUACGGGAGGCAGCAGUGGGGAAUAUUGGACAAUGGGGGAAACCCUGAUCCAGCCAUGCCGCGUGUGUGAAGAAGGCUUUCGGGUUGUAAAGCACUUUCAGCGAGGAAGAAGGCCUGACGGUUAAUACCUGUCAGGAAGGACA
rnacentral:rRNA from 1 species